UUUAGCAAUGUUCAAUCAACAAGUACUAUCUUAAUUGAAACUUAAAAAUCUUAAAUUAUGUUAUAGCCACUGUUUGUUCCUUUUAUUUAGACCCACUCUAGAAAAAAAGAGAAGAAGACAUAAAAACACAACUAGAAAGAGGAGCAUAAAGGGUAUACAUAUGAAUGUACUAUUAUUAAUUCACUUGAAGAAGACCUAGUCGAAACCGGUCGUGAUCUACUGUGACCUACUUGCUCUUCAGCACAAUGAACUGAUUGAAUAAGUGAACAAUUACAUAUAGAACAUAUAUUGUUGAGGGAUCUACUGUGACCUACUUGCUCUUCAGCACAAUGAACUGAUUGAAUAAGUGAACAAUUAUAUACAGAACAUAUAUUGUUGAGCUACAGUCAUUUUUGAUGUAUGGAUUAUGUUUAUUACAAUUGUGAAUUCUGAA